GACAGCAGUCGCCACGGGAAUACGGAGGGAGCUAGCGUUGUUCGGAAUUACUGGGCGUAAAGCGCGCGUAGGCGGUUACUCCAGUCAGAGGUGAAAGCCCGGGGCUCAACCCCGGAACUGCCUUUGAAACUAGGUAACUAGAAUCUUGGAGAGGUCAGUGGAACUCCGAGUGUAGAGGUGAAAUUCGUAGAUAUUCGGAAGAACACCAGUGGCGAAGGCGACUGACUGGACAAGUAUUGACGCUGAGGUGCGAAAGCGUGGGGAGCAAACAGGAUUAGAUACCCGCGUAGUCCCUGUCUCUUAUAC
rnacentral:rRNA from 1 species